rnacentral:rRNA from 1 species
UACGGGGGGGGCAAGCGUUGUUCGGAAUUACUGGGCGUAAAGGGCUCGUAGGUGGCCAACUAAGUCGGACGUGAAAUCCCUCGGCUUAACCGGGGAACUGCGUCUGAUACUGGAUGGCUUGAGUUCGGGAGAGGGAUGCGGAAUUCCUGGUGUAGCGGUGGAAUGCGCAGAUAUCAGGAGGAACACCGGUGGCGAAGGCGGGUCUCUGGGCAGUAACUGACGCUGAGGAGCGAAAGCGUGGGGAGCGAACAGG